rnacentral:rRNA from 1 species
CCAAUAGCGUAUAUUAAAGUUGUUGCAGUUAAAAAGCUCGUAGUUGAAUUUCGGGAUCAAUAUAUCGGUCGUGCCUUGGUACGUACUGGUAUCAUUGGUUUCUCCUUUCUGACGAACCGUGAUGUCAUUAAUUUGGUGUUAUGGGAAGUUAGGACUGUUACUUUGAAAAAAUUAGAGUGUUUAAAGCAGGCUUUAGCUUGAAUACAUUAGCAUGGAAUCAUGGAAUAGGACGUUUGAUUCUAUUUUGUUGGUUUCUAGGAUCGACGUAAUGAUUAAUAGGGAUAGUUGGGGGCAUUAGUAUUCAAUUGUCAGAGGUGAAAUUCUUGGAUUUAUUGAAGACUAACUACUGCGAAAGCAUUUGCCAAGGAUGUUUUCAUUAAUCAAGAACGAAAGUUAGGGGAUCGAAGACGAUCAGAUACCGUCGUAGUCUUAACCAUAAACUAUGCCGACUAGGGAUCGGAUGAUGUUGAUUUUUUAAUGACUCAUUCGGCGCCUUAC